CCCAUAUCGGAAGAUCCUUCCUAGAGUUCAAAGGCAGCUGGCUGCAGAGAGAGCCAGGCCUUACCAUUUGCCUUCGUCGGCCUUAAGAGGAGUUGCGAGACCAAAGCCAGUAUCAAGAGCAAGAAAACCAGCCAAUUCAGGAUAUCUGGAUAUCAUAGCAACUUUCAUGAGUAAUGUGUUAUCCAGAAUUGGAGCAGCAUGGGCAGGAAAUGAGCAGAAAACCUUUUCCUCACGAUAUGAUAGGUAACCAACGAUGAUAUAGCACUGCCUGGGGAUUCAUGGGAGCAUCAUCAUGGAAUGGCGGAGGAUGCAUCGUCUGAGACUAGAGAUAAGGCAACUGUGCUUACUCUGAGCAAUCCUGAGGAGGAUCGUGCUGAAGUGGAAGCGUUUUCAAAAAGCAUACCUGGAGAUGGUUUGGAGAAAAUGGAUGUCAGCAAAGAAAACAGCAACUUCUCUGCCCGUUCAGACCAAACUACUUUGGAGUAUCACGAUGCAAAAUCACCUGGCGGUUUUUCAUCUGUUCCCAUGUGCCGAAUCGCAAAUAGCUUAGCUGUUGAUUUCUGGUGGCGAAAAAACAAGCUACAGGCAGCAGCCAGCCCGUGUUUUCUCAUGAGUUGAUAGGCAGUGCUUUUCACCUCUUAGUCUAGGCCAAUCUGAAAAUACUAUGAAAUUGUAGACUCUCAAGUAAGAAGGUAGCAGUUUUUUCUUAUUUUGUUGGUACUUUUGUCUUCUGUGCAAAACUUGCAGGUUUCCAAUCCAGGAAUGCUUUUUUUUUUCUCGGCAAAGUAGUCCAGGUAACGAGUCUCUUGGAUGUGCUUGGAGAUAAAUGUUCUGUGGUUCCUGUUGAAUUCAAGCCGUUCCUAAAAUAAAAUGUGUUUUUCAAAGCCC